rnacentral:lncRNA from 1 species
CCUGAACUUUCAAAUCUUCAAAUGGAAUUUCUUCCUGUGCUCAGCUGUGGAGAAAUUUGCAGUGUGGCAUUAUACAGCUGUCAAAUUCUACCCAUGGGACCUGAUUGGGCAGUUUACACAAGCGAAGCUUCUACUGACUCUAGGGACACUUACCAUUUUUAGCAUUUGUUGAGAAUAAAAGUGUCUCUGUUGAGAAGUUACAAGUUUAAGGAGACAAACCAGAAAUGUUGCUGGAAUUUGUAUCUGAACACCUUAAAACCAAACUCCUUGAUGAUCAUCAGAAGGAAGAAAAGCCCAUGAGAAUUCUGCAGUUUCUGCUUCCAGAACUUCUUAUAAAAAUCUGUGUCUAAGCACUUAAAGAUGACAGCCAUUGAUUUUGCGAUAUACUCUUCCAGUCUCCCUUUAUAAUUAUAUAGAUUUAUUCCCCCAUAUACUGCAGUAUUCCAGACUGACUGUCCUAUACCUUUUCUGAUAUUUUCCUUAGCUGAAGAGAGAUAUCUAACUCUUGGCCAUGUCUCUUCCCAGGGGAAACCUCAUCAAAUGACUGCUUGAUGUGGUCAGUCAACACAGAAAAUUAUCCUGUUAGAACUAAAUAACUUUUCUCUGGGUUUUAGUGCAUUAGCAAACUACAAAGUUAAGAGUUUAAAAUUUGAAUGUGAGAAAUACAGCCUAUCUCUCCAAUCAAAAAAUUCAACAUCUGUGGAUUAUAGGCUCCUUAUAAUAUGUUACCUGAGAAGAUUUCAUACAAAUAUUCAAUAUAAUGAUAUAUAAAUUUUAAAAAUAUAAGUACAUUUUAACUCCAGACCUAUUAAGCUUCCCCCACUUCUCUCACAAGAUUGCUUCACAAUAUCUAACUUCAAAAGAAAGAAAUUCUAGAAUAGAACUCUGUCCUGGUUAAUUGUCUUUUCUUUAACUGGUAUAAUAUUAGUAUUUAUUAUCUUUGUUUUAUAUAGGGUCAUGGUUAUGUUGGAUUAUUUUUUAAAAUCUUGUUGUUAAGUCUCACGACUUUAAUGGCAUCAUUAAAGUUUAUUGGGAAGAAAAGCUGAAAAAGAAAUUCUGUCAGAUUAAUUGAGCAAGUACAGUUCAGGGAUAGCAAGGGAUAAUCUCAUAUAUAUUCACCUGUCACCUGAGAAGGAAAAAAAAUUGAGCCUCCACUUAGGUGGCAAGCAACCCCACAGGCAAGGUGAAGAUAGCAAGUUCAGGUACUUGAAUGCAAUGCAAAGUUAAGUCAAUCUAUAUGUGACAACCAUUGAUUUCUCAAUUUUUACUUUUCAGUAAAAUUUUUAAAAGAAGUUAAAGGAGAAUGUUUACAAGAACUAAGUUAUUUGAGUAUGCCAUAUUUUUUAUUAGAAUGUAGUCCAAACUCAAUAUAAAGAAUAAUAACAUAUUAGAGAUAACAGACAAAAUGAACAAUAGCUCAGUAAAAUAAAUAUUAAUUAAGGUCAUCUAAAGCUACAUCUAAAGACCUUUUAUUUAUUAGAGGUUUUCUAUAAUUAUAUACAUGAGAUCUGGGCUAUAAGUUUUUCUAUGGGUGAAAAUAUAAAAUAUAUCUUAUAACAAAAGUUAUUUUUCUAUUUUAUUCUCUAUAUUCCCUUAUUACUCCAAAUGAUUUAAAAUUCAUUUGUUGUAUAAAUUUUAAAUUGAAGUUGCAUAAGAAUGUAUGAAAAUGUUUUCUUUCUCAAAUUACUUCAGCCAUCAUGCAGAAACAUAACAGAGCAUGGUAUUAGAAACAAAUACAUUAAAAGAAUAUAGCAAUUGGCGCGUGCUCUCGUCACAGAACUGAAAAAUAUAUAGUUCACCACUUCAUUCAAAACUCCCUUAAAAUAGAUGUAUUUGUCUAUAAAAUUGUGAAGGUUUUGGUUGUACCUAGUGAUAUGAUGUAUUUUAAUAAAUUGUUAAAU